UACGUAGGGUGCAAGCGUUGUCCGGAAUUAUUGGGCGUAAAGAGCUCGUAGGCGGCUUGUCGCGUCGGCUGUGAAAACCUGGGGCUCAACCCCGGGCCUGCAGCCGAUACGGGCAGACUAGAGUGUGGUAGGGGAGACUGGAAUUCCUGGUGUAGCGGUGAAAUGCGCAGAUAUCAGGAGGAACACCGAUGGCGAAGGCAGGUCUCUGGGCCAUAACUGACGCUGAGAAGCGAAAGCAUGGGGAGCGAACAGG
rnacentral:rRNA from 1 species